GAUCAAUUGCUUUCUUAUGCCUUGCAACAUUUUUAGGUACUGCCUGUGCUAUUGCUUAUCGAAAGAUGGAUAUUGUACCCUUAAACCAUUGCAUACUUGUUGCUUGACUUGGAAAUUGUUUCUAGCUUUAUCAGUUCCUUGUUUUAAUAAGAAUUUGGAAUCAGACCGUUUUUAUUCCUUUAACUUUUGAUCUAGAGUACAUUUGGAUCACCUCAGGUGGUGGAAACACAAACCGCUUCCUUUUUUCCUUUGUGUUUUUGAAUUUCAGAGGAGAAGUGGACCUUGAGGUGGCCAAGAGGUAGUCAUGACCACUGGAUCUAGCAGGCCAGCAACGGUGGCCUUCUUCUUCGACGUUGUGGUUUUAGAUCGGAUUAGCUACCAGCUGCCUACCUGUACCUACUCGUGUACUUUGACAUGCUAUAAACACAUAGGCAGGCCUGUAAUUUGGAAGAUGAAGAAUUGGAAACACAUAGGGAAGAUAUAUAGUGUUGAUGGCU